rnacentral:rRNA from 1 species
CGCCCGCGACUCGGCGAGAACUCCAUUGAACCUUAUCAUUUAGAGGAAGGAGAANUCGUAACAAGGUUUCCGUACGUGAACCUGCGGAAGGAUCAUUG